GACGAACGCUGGCGGCGUGCCUAAUACAUGCAAGUUGAGCGAUGAAGAUUGGUGCUUGCACCAAUUUGAAGAGCAGCGUACGGGUGAGUAACGCGUGGGGAAUCUGCCUUUGAGCGGGGGACAACAUUUGGAAACGAAUGCUAAUACCGCAUAAUAACUUUAAACAUAAGUUUUAAGUUUGAAAGAUGCAAUUGCAUCACUCAAAGAUGAUCCCGCGUUGUAUUAGCUAGUUGGUGAGGUAAAGGCUCACCAAGGCGAUGAUACAUAGCCGACCUGAGAGGGUGAUCGGCCACAUUGGGACUGAGACACGGCCCAAACUCCUACGGGAGGCAGCAGUAGGGAAUCUUCGGCAAUGGACGAAAGUCUGACCGAGCAACGCCGCGUGAGUGAAGAAGGUUUUCGGAUCGUAAAACUCUGUUGGUAGAGAAGAACGUUGGUGAGAGUGGAAAGCUCAUCAAGUGACGGUAACUACCCAGAAAGGGACGGCUAACUACGUG
rnacentral:rRNA from 1 species